rnacentral:rRNA from 1 species
UACAGAGGGUGCGAGCGUUAAUCGGAAUUACUGGGCGUAAAGCGCGCGUAGGCGGCUUUGCAAGUCGGGUGUGAAAUCCCCAGGCUUAACCUGGGAACUGCAUUCGAGACUGCAUUGCUGGAGUAUGGGAGAGGGAAGUGGAAUUUCCGGUGUAGCGGUGAAAUGCGUAGAUAUCGGAAGGAACAUCAGUGGCGAAAGCGACUUCCUGGACCAAUACUGACGCUCAUGUGCGAAAGCGUGGGGAGCAAACAGG